rnacentral:rRNA from 1 species
UACGGAGGAUGCGAGCGUUAUCCGGAUUUAUUGGGUUUAAAGGGUGCGUAGGCGGGAUGCCAAGUCAGCGGUAAAAAUGCGGUGCUCAACGCCGUCGGGCCGUUGAAACUGGCGUUCUUGAGUGGGCGAGAAGUAUGCGGAAUGCGUGGUGUAGCGGUGAAAUGCAUAGAUAUCACGCAGAACUCCGAUUGCGAAGGCAGCAUACCGGCGCCCUACUGACGCUGAGGCACGAAAGCGCGGGUAUCGAACAGG